GAUACGCGAGGAACCUUACCUGGGCUCGAACGUAAGAUGACUGUAGGUGAAAGCUUACAUCUCUUCGGAGCAUUUUACGAGGUGCUGCAUGGUUGUCGUCAGCUCGUGCCGUGAGGUGUCGGGUUAAGUCCCAUAACGAGCGCAACCCCUACCUUUAGUUGCCAUCAGGUAAUGCUGGGGACUCUAAAGGAACUGCCUACGCAAGUAGUGAGGAAGGCGGGGAUGACGUCAAAUCAGCACGGCCCUUACGUCCAGGGCUACACACGUGCUACAAUGGCCGAUACAGAGGGCAGCUACCUGGUGACAGGAUGCAAAUCUCCAAAGUCGGUCUCAGUUCGGAUCGGAGUCUGCAACCCGACUCCGGGAAGUUGGAUUCGCUAGUAAUCGCGCAUCAGCCAUGGCGCGGUGAAUACGUUCCCGGGCCUU
rnacentral:rRNA from 1 species